AUUGAACGCUGGCGGAAUGCUUUACACAUGCAAGUCGAACGGUAGAGGGGGCAACCCCUUGAGAGUGGCGAACGGGUGAGUAAUAUAUCGGAACGUGCCCAGUCGUGGGGAUAACGUAGCGAAAGUUACGCUAAUACCGCAUACGAUCUAAGGAUGAAAGCGGGGGACUCGCAAGAGCCUCGCGCGAUUGGAGCGGCCGAUAUCAGAUUAGGUAGUUGGUGGGGUAAAGGCUCACCAAGCCAACGAUCUGUAGCUGGUCUGAGAGGACGACCAGCCACACUGGAACUGAGACACGGUCCAGACUCCUACGGGAGGCAGCAGUGGGGAAUUUUGGACAAUGGACGCAAGUCUGAUCCAGCCAUUCCGCGUGCAGGAUGAAGGCCCUCGGGUUGUAAACUGCUUUUGUACGGAACGAAAAGGUUUCUAUUAAUACUAGGAGCUCAUGACGGUACCGUAAGAAUAAGCACCCGGCUAACUAACGUGCCAGCAGCCGCGGUAAAGUG
rnacentral:rRNA from 1 species